rnacentral:rRNA from 1 species
UACGGGGGGGGGCAAGCGUUUGUUCGGAAUUACUGGGCGUAAAGGGCCAGUAGGCGGCCAACUAAGUCCGACGUGAAAUCCCCAGGCUUAACCUGGGAACUGCGUCGGAUACUGGAUGGCUUGAAUUCGGGAGAGGGAUGCAGAAUUCCAGGUGUAGCGGUGAAAUGCGUAGAUAUCUGGAGGAAUACCGGUGGCGAAGGCAGCCCCCUGGGCUAACACUGACGCUCAGGCACGAAAGCGUGGGGAGCAAACAGG